GGAAACCGGUGGGAAUCCGGUGCGGUCGCGCCACUGUGAGCGGCCUUCGUCUCGGUGAUGGGGACGAGGCCGCGAGUCAGGACGC
rnacentral:sRNA from 18 species